AUUGAACGCUGGCGGCAUGCCUUACACAUGCAAGUCGAACGGCAGCACGGGAGCAAUCCUGGUGGCGAGUGGCGAACGGGUGAGUAAUAUAUCGGAACGUGCCCAGUCGUGGGGAUAACGUAGCGAAAGCUACGCUAAUACCGCAUACGAUCUAUGGAUGAAAGCGGGGGAUCGCAAGACCUCGCGCGAUUGGAGNGGCCGAUAUCAGAUUAGGUAGUUGGUGAGGUAAAGGCUCACCAAGCCGACGAUCUGUAGCUGGUCUGAGAGGACGACCAGCCACACUGGGACUGAGACACGGCCCAGACUCCUACGGGAGGCAGCAGUGGGGAAUUUUGGACAAUGGGCGCAAGCCUGAUCCAGCAAUG
rnacentral:rRNA from 1 species